rnacentral:tRNA from 1 species
UAAUAGUUGUCGAAAGGAUCGUUUAUAAUUUCGAAUUAUAAGUUAAUGUUAACAUUACUAUUAA